GCCCCCUUAGUUUAAUGGAUAGAACAAAUCCCUCCUAAGGAUUAGAUGUGAGUUCGAUUCUCGCAGGGGGUGCCA
rnacentral:tRNA from 1 species